rnacentral:rRNA from 1 species
AUUGAACGCUGGCGGCAGGCUUAACACAUGCAAGUCGAGCGGGGUGAUGGUGCUUGCACUAUCACUUAGCGGCGGACGGGUGAGUAAUGCUUAGGAAUCUGCCUAUUAGUGGGGGACAACAUCUCGAAAGGGAUGCUAAUACCGCAUACGUCCUACGGGAGAAAGCAGGGGAUCACUUGUGACCUUGCGCUAAUAGAUGAGCCUAAGUCGGAUUAGCUAGUCGGUGGGGUAAAGGCCUACCAAGGCGACGAGCUGUAGCGGGUCUGAGAGGACGAUCCGCCACACUGGGACUGGGACACGGCCCAGACUCCUACGGGAGGCAGCAGUGGGGAAUAUUGGACAAUGGGGGGAACCCUGAUCCAGCCAUGCCGCGUGUGUGAAGAAGGCCUUAUGGUUGUAAAGCACUUUAAGCGAGGAGGAGGCUCUUUUGGUUAAUACCCAAGAUGAGUGGACGUUACUCGCAGAAUAAGCACCGGCUAACUCUGUGCCAGCCGCCGCGGUAA